GAGUAGACCCGCUUGACGAUGCAACAAGAACAGGCCAAUCAACUGAGUCCGCUUGAGUGUCAUUAUUAUUAAUAGUGGUUUCAUUCUUUGACUCUGGUGUGGAUGUCAAUUCCUAUGGGUGUCAAUUCCUAUAAUUCAUAUAUAAUAAUCAAAGUGAUCUCGAACACUUUCCUCGCACUGCUAAUUCUGUAGUAUAAGUGAACUUUCCUAGCCUCGCCCCCCUAAAAGUAGUAGUCUCGAAUUUCUCACUGUUUCCAGCACCAACUAGUAGUUUGUUUCCAGCCCAAACUAGUAGAAAUGCCCCAACAAGUAGUGGUCCAGAGUGUUCAUCCCGGUAGUCCAGUAAGCUCACUGCAGGCUCUGCUCUUUCUUGUUCUAGUGGAAUCCCCUGUUAGUAAGAUAAGUCCUGUCAGCACUAGUUUCAUCCUUAUUUAUAUCAUAUAAUACCAGAGUUUCAUCCUAUAACUCAGAGAAGGUAGUAAAGCCUAUAACUAGAUUAGUGAAAUACCGGGUAAGUCAACUAUGGUAAGUAAACGCAGCUACUCCUAUAGUAAUUAGUCUGGAAAGUAGGAAUUAAAGAGCCAAGCUAACCGACGUCCUGUGACUUAUAUAUCUACCGGUAGUGCGUUGCAUAUUCAUUCCUUAAUGAGGGAAGGGCGACUAAGUGCAUUAGCGGAGUCGGUCGUUAAUAAGUCUGCUCCUGAGUUCAAAGAGAUGGAGUAUUGAUUGGCAAGAGGCUAAAUUGAGACUCCGGAAUAACCCGGGCACAGCUCCUGGCACUGCUACUGAUCUCGUUGAUGCAGCAGUUAUUCUUUAGAAAGAGAAUAUCUAAUUUAGUAAGGUUUCUUAUAAGGGUGAAGGGCAGGUCUAGCAGUAGAAAGGAUUCAAUGUUAACUACUUGGUAAGGGAUAUCCGAACAAAACUCUUAACUGACCGCUUCCCUUGAUUCUUCUCCGUAUACGUGUUGGGGCAGGGCAUUUCACUGUACUGGUUAAGGCUCACUGACGCUCAAACACAGGUUCACUCAGGACAGGCAGGGUCGGUGAGUAACCUAGUAGAUCUAGCAUGCCUAGCUCAUUCAACAAAAAGGACUCUCAUCUCACUCUGGUAAUGGAAACUAAUACAGAAUUCCACUCCAGGGUACGGUUACUACAUAUCGUUUUGGUGACUUCCCGCGCCUACCUCCUGAACAGCUUCUCUUUCUGGCAUUAAUGAAGGGCUCAGUUAGUGGUUUCAUUCUUUGACUGAUUAGUUGCAUCCUUGCUCUCUUUGUAAAGAGCUCAUUCUUUUACUUGUUGGCGAGCUACCUGACGCGCAACCAGUAAUUAAGGGAUUUUCUUAUUUAUUCUAGAUUUGAUUAUAUUAUUAUUAUUGAGUAGUGCCUACUGCUUGUAUGUGCUAUAGAGUACCCGGAGUGCAAGAGAGAAAAUGCAUUCUUAACAAACAGGAGUGGUUAUUUGACAAACAGGAGUGGUUUGGAACUUUCACUUACGGACUUUCGAGCUGAACCCAAUGAUGAAGUAGCACCCGAAACAAUACUUGAGCUAACAAUAAAGCACUUGGCGGCACCGAACUCCUGUACUACAUAAAGAGCUAUAGGAGCCUGCAGACUUCACUCCUUCUUGCUUAGUUAAAGAAUUCUCCUGUAUUUCUGAUUUCUGUUCCUGCUCGGGAAAGCACCCUUCUGGAUUUCUUUCUUGAUUUCUUGCUUUGUCUACUUUCCUGCUUGGCCUGAACUAACUUUACUGAACAAACUGAAUAGAAGGUAGCGCUCCACAUUUAGAAUAAAGAAGAAAAACACUCCUGACAUAUUACUUUAUGAACACAAGCUACAGAACCAAAAUGACUUUAUGAAACACAAGCUACAGAACAAAACAAACUAGGGCGAAAGCAAGUAUAGAAGGGAUAAAGCUAUCUCAACGGCACGCAACUCCCGUUUUCUAGAGUGGAGCAGAGCUUCUUUCUACUGUUCUUUGGGACGGACUCAACUGAUGUAGUUUCUCAUUCCAUUCUGUCGAACUCCAAUAAGGGAGAUUAGGUACAAAACUCCUACUCACUAUCCCCGCUCCGCUGCCCAUCUUAUUCUUUCGCUAAGGCAGCAAGUCCUUUAUUUUAUGGAUUUUCAAUAAUAAAGAGAGAUUAUUUCUCAUUUGAUCUUUUGAUCGCUGAAGCCACAAAUCAUUCAACACCCUCCCUUCCCGCGCUUGCUGCUUCCUGACUUGAUCUCGCUUCUUCUCUCGGCACAGCUUCUUAUACUUAUCCGGCUGCUUAUGCUAUUACUUUUGAUUCUGCUUAGACAACUUAUUCUCUUGUAGACAGAAUUCGAACAGAAAUAUACUAUAAGGAUCUAUACUCCUAACCAGUACUAUAUGAUUUGAUUCCCAAUACAGCUACGUCAGUACGUUAUUCUUACCUUAAUAGAACAACAACUCCAUUAGCUACAGUCAAAUCACAGAAUUCAAAUACCCCAGCUUCUUCCCUUUUACUGCUUGAGCAACUAAGUAGUAAGUAGAGUAGAGCCAGGCUGUCAACUAAACUCCUACAGCGCAGAAAGAAAUGGACACUUUGGAACUUCUAUUAGUGCCGAGCCAACAAAUCAUUAUGAAACUUUACCUUACUGCUUCCUUAAAUGGGUAGGCGCAUCCCGCCAUUUCCGACCAAAACUGGAAUUGCUGCUUCCUAUCUAACUGCUUAUAAAACGGAUGAAACUAUUGAUUCGACUAGAACAGAACCUAGACAACAACACUAAAACAUAGCACCUCCACUAAGAAACGGUCCAAGGAAUGCAGCCUAGAAGAUUACUUGUUUCAAGUCCGGCAAGUUACUACUCAUGUUAUGCGUUUAGUGGCUCUUAAACAACUAAGGUAAAUAACCUAUCUUUUCUCUUAGCACCAACCGAUAAUUAAAUAAAGGUAAAGCACCAAUUCUUUCUUUAAUGGAAAUAGGAUUAUCGUCGCCAACGCAAGGAAUUGUACCUCACUUUAGCACUCAACUUGCGCCUUAAAACAAUUGACUACUUCUUCUUGAUACAAUGACUUUCGCACAGCCCAUGAUCCUGCUUAUAAUCCUUAUCCUAUCUCUUAUCUGGUUUUGUUCCUACUGAAAAUAGAUCCAUCUCUUGCUUCCCUGACUGCUGUUUAAAUACAUUUGGAUUAAUAAAAAACAUAACCCCGAGGAGAGUAAUACCGAUCUUAUUUGUUAACUCUCUAAUAAACAAGUGAAAAUAGCUCGUUAACGCGCAUAUCAAAGUAGCUUCACUGACCCAUACUUUAUUCCUCUUGCCCGACCUCGCAUUAGCCGAUCAAACAGGAAUGAAAUUAGCGUAGGGUCCCACCAGGAAAAGAUUGAAGUCUAUCAGAUCGGGGGGAUAGCAGCCAAAAAACAGUUAUUACGAAGUAUGGAACCCUUAUUAUAAUCCCUAACAAUUGAACUCGAUAUAGGGAUUCACACCAAGCGGGUAAGAUGCCAGCCUACACUACAAUAUCCAUAGAGCUAGUAAAAGCCUGAAACUAUUGCCUGACAUUCUUGACUUGUUAGUUAGAGCCUAAUUCACUGACAUACAGAAGUCAACUAGUGCUAUAAGGGCCUCGGUCCCUAGGACAAAGGAUCGAACUCGUAAAGCAAAUACUCACUAGAGAGCUGAAACCCACAUAGCGGCAUCCUUUCUCCUAUAGCUCCAACCAAACUAGCACUCCUGACUGGCAUUAGAACUUGAUAGCUGACUUCUCGUACUACCGAUUUCAAUCCUUACUUUGCUGACCUUAACUCUGACUUCCCUACCCAUCCUUCCUUUGAGUCGGAUUCCACCAAUCCGCUACUACUGAUGGGAACUAAACUCGGAACAGGGAAUGAAAACACUGAUACCAGGACAACCACUAUUAGAUACUAGGAUCGAACUAAGUAAACCGAGCCAUACUACUCGAAUAACACAGGCCAAGCAACGCCCUAUUCUAUGUCCCACAAGCCUUGAUUUCCCUAAGCCCAAUUCCAAUAGUGACCAGUUCUAUUCUCAUACGCCCCAGCAAAAUCCUACUAUAGCUAUAGGGGGCUUGAGUCUUGCUAGCAGUGGUUCUAUUCUAAUAGUAGUGUAAACAAUAGUAUAUGCCCGGGGGAAGAGAGCAGACUCACACUCACUAUAGAAUGAAAGUAUGGCCAGUAAGACUAAUGCAGUAGGAGCAAAGCAAGGUUCGGUCUCAGAAUGAUAGUUUACUUAUAGGUCUAUGACUAUGAAUGAUAAAUGAUAGUUUACUUAUAGGUCUAUGAAUGAUAGUUUCAAUAUGUAAUCCAACUCUUACUGAUAAAACAACAACUUCAUAAUACAAAUAAAGACUUGAACUGACCCACCACUAGCAGGCUCACUUCCUUUCUUUAAACACUCACAUUGGAUCCUUACUCGCUUGGAACAGGCUUGCUAUUACUUGAAAGAAUUCUCCCGAUACCCGUUUCAAGUCUACCCUUGCUUGCUUUUGAGUUGAAGCCCGUGUCUCGUUAGUCGCAUUCCUUAUCGCCCCCUUGAUCCUGUGACUACUCAGUGGAAUGAGGAAUUCCACCUUUUUUCUAAUACGAUUAGCUAUCAAACCCAGAAGUUAUAUUAUAGUGACAUUUGCCUUAUUGGUAAAGCCAUAAUGAAACAAGGCAGUAACUGGCACGAGACACCUUUCUUGACUUUAGAGCCUAGGACCGACACUCCCACCUUAUAUUCCUUAGUGAAAAGUUAGAGCCUUAUACUGGCCCCUUCCAUUCCUAUUCCAUUAUUGAAGUAUUAUGCCACUGCUCUCAAUCCUAUAGUUAGAGCUUGAGUACGCCCCACUUCCGUCUCUAACUCAGCUAAUCCUAAAACACUAAUCGCUGUUAAUGAACAUGAAACUAAUGGCAAACAGGCUAGAACACCGCCUAACGAAUAAAGCGUGAGAUUGAAAACACCGAUCCGGGUCCUUGUAAAGCGAGGUUGGUUCUUAUUGAUAUGAUGGUAGUAGCAGUCCUGUCAGCAUUGAUUGAAUCUGUAUUUGUUAGUUCCAUUCCAUUACUCAUUGGGGGAAUUCCUUGUUUCCUGAUAUCAAUAUGAGAAGUCAGGAUUUCAUGCCGUAGCAAUAUGAGAAGUCGUGGUUUCACUCUAGGGCCGGCAGCUUAGUUCAAUUAACUAACGAGUCAGGUUUGAGGGCUGUAGGCAGAUCUACCUAGCAGUUGCAUUGGUAGCCCUGUUUAUAUUCUUUUUCUUACUGGUGUCAAUCCUUUUUCUACUAAUACAGAUGUGAGAUCAGGAGCGAAAGACUAGAUUCUUUACUUUAUUAUACAAAUCCGUAUUUAUAGCAUGAAAACACGCAAUGGGAGCCUAAACCCAAGCAAAGGCAUUUAGGUGUUCAAGAAAGCAGGGGCAUUUAGGUGUUCAAGAAAGCAGGAACCCGGCAAUAAAGAAUAUAGAAAUCCAACUCGAAACUAUGGUUACCAAGACCUUAACUCAAAACCGGGAAUCUAGACUAAAAUAAGGAAUGGAACUGCGAGAAAAGAAGGCAGCCUUGUUAAGCGGUGGAUCAAGCCCUAUUUCCUAGUCAGAAAAGGUUGAGUUGUAUUGGUUUCAUAGUUGUAUGUAUUGGUUCCAUUCUGUGGAGUCGCGCCAGUACUCUUAGAACCACAGUAGAUAGAUUAUGUUUGUCAGUACUGUUUGCCUUUAGUGCCACUCUUGUAGUAGUUAGCAGCAUUCCAGGUUUCGAGCGCUAGUAGGCUUUACAGCACCUCCUUAUUUCUAGUAUUGGUCUUGCCCGUACCAAUUGUAUUCCUUAUUCCAAGCAUUGUGUUCUUGUUAUCAUUAGUUGGAUUCCCUGUAAGUAAGGUCAUUAUUUUUAGCACUAGUUGGAGUUAAAGUCAGUAAAGCCAGGAUCAUGCCCCCAUUACAGUAGGAAAGAAUCCAAAUCCUUAGUGAAAGUCUUUUUUCUUGUGUAAAUGCCUUAAGGUUAUGCCCGAUAUCCUGCAUUAUGUGUUUUAGCUUGAUUAGGCACUAGUUCAUUCCUGUUAUCGGUAGGCUUUCAGCACCUGGUUUGGAGGUUGGUCCCCUGGCUUGAGUGGAAUUACUAGUUGUUCGCUCUAUUCUUAUCAGGUAGUAAGUAAAGUCUGUAACAAGGUAUAAGACCUUCUGGCUAGGAGAGCUAGACUGAAUAGGGCGUAUUGGAGAGUGAAAGAAGCAAGUAAGGGUCCGAUAGUUGUAUAAGAGAAAGGAAAAGUAGACUGGUUGUUGAGCUGAUAUCCCAGAGUUAGAUGCCCGGUUUUGAUUCUUGUUAGGAGUAGUUGUUGUCUUGGUUCUGAGAGGACAGUUUUCAGUUCCAUUCCUGUUAGCAGUGAUAUCAGUCCUGUUCGCCCGGGUGCGAUUCCUUAUGCGAAUAAAAAGGAUGAGCCAGAGUCGAGGUAUCCCUCAUUCAGUUAAUAGUUGCCAUAGGUAAUAGGUAGCUAAGUCCAUAAUUCUUAGUGUUAAGUGUCGUUCUUGUUUUCUCAUAUAUAGAAGUGCGUCGGUAAAGGAAAGAUUCCGCUGGGUAAAGUCAAGUUUCAAAAGGAAGCAGCAAGCGAAGUGCUAACGUCCAAUUUCUUUGAGUUGACUCUGCUGCCCUACCCUAAGCUCGCUCAUAAGUAUUGACUUUUUCUGUUUGACUUCGAGAUGGCGAUACUAAGCAAUCUUCUUCGCUCGAAAGUCCAGUGUAAGGGAGUUUACCUGUAGAAUGGAAUUGUGGAAAUGAAUGUUCGACUUCAGACAGCGUGGUUAAUGCUUGAUAUUGAGAACAAGCAAUGUGCACUAGAUUCAUAAGAGUAUUUAUAGUAUAGACCCAUGUAGCGGUAAUAAUAAUAAUAACUUAUAUGCUAUGCGAAAGAGAGAAAUUGGAAAUCAAAUAAAAGAAGCAGAACUCGAUAACGGGAGGUCCAAAGAUGCAAUUCAUUCUGCAUUCUGGUCCAGUGUCCCAACAAGAUGUUGUGGCGCCGGUGAGCAGCUUUCUGACAUUCCUACUUUAUUAGCGGGUGAGAGAGAAUCAAUUGAAAUUCCAGUUGACUCUGUUACAUUCCUAUUUGCAAUGCUCGGCCAAGCUACUCAAAAUGGAAUAAUAGAACUAUGAGUUGGAAUAUUCUACUCUCUUAGCAUCUAGUUUCUUUAUCUACUCCGGACAGGAAGGACGUAUCUUCUCUAAGCCAAGACCAAAACUCAUAUGUAAGGUUUUCAUCCGUCACACAUGGGCUGGGCUAUAAUCCCUUAAUUUGAUACGAGUGGUUUCUUUAAUUCAGCAAGCUGUUUCGCAAGAACAAACAGUCAUUCAGAAAAAGCCAGCAGUGAGGAAGCAGUUAGGUCACUUUCAUUUACAUUCAUUAUGAAGCUUACGGUUACCUUAGUAUGGAAUAUGUGCACGAAACGAGCAAGGGAAAAGGGCCGACAUUCGUUCUUACUUAAAGGGCUCUCGCUAGGGAGCAAACAAACAAGCAAGCAAGGGAACACAAGGAAUCAGAUUUCGAAAGUUAGUGAGUUGUGCCGAUACUCCAUUUGAUAUUGAAGUAAGGAGUGAGUCAGCGCGCGGCAAGGGAAUAAAGGAAAAGCUGUUUCAGGCAGUUAGCGUUAGCACAGGGAAUUAAUAAGCGCUUAAGGCAGUUAGCGUUAGCACAGGGAAUUAAUAAGCGCUUAAGGCAGUUUGCUUCCCCACUUAUAGAUAGGUUGGUUCAUAUUCUUCAUCGAAAGUCAAAAAAGGAUCUAACAAAAAAGAGUCGACUACCUCACGACCAACGACUGCCUUCCUUCCUUCGUCUGCCUUCCUUCGGAAAAAGGGAGAAAUCACGAUUCAUGCUGCUAAAGGUCCGCAACACAUCUUUCGACCUUCGCUUAAACAUAAGAUGCACUACCUAUGCCCUCUGAUUCCGCGCAUCUCUUAGGGCAGCCCCCGCCAUACCAUAGUUGGAAUCUAGUCUCGGCAUCAAACCUACCCUUGAAAACGUCUUCUGUCCAAGCUCGCCUUUACCUCUUUUCACGUGAACAAGCUAUUCAGUACUGGGCGGUCCACUACUUCCGGGGAUUCGAGAGCACCUUGUAUUCGAUGCAUCUCAUCUAUGUCAUCUUCUAAAUCUGAAUCUGGCUAUCAUCCAUCUAAAAUAGAUAAUGCUGCAAAUCCUCCUCUUUUCUUUGACACCGACUCCUUUCUUAUAGAUGGCACCAAUGCUAUCGAAUAAGCCAAGCGAAAACAUGCGACUCCUACUGAGACUGCUGUUGAUUAUAAUAUUAGUUUGUCUUUCGAACUUUGCGGAUUUUAUGCCAUCAGAGAUUGACAGAGGGCUACUCGUUGAUUAACUCUCUCCUGAUCUGCUCUAGUACAUUCACAUUAAUUGAUUAACUCUCUCCUGCUCCGCUCUAGUACAUUCACAUGAAGGGGAAGGCCUGGCCAUUCGUAGCCAUUGCUUUUGCUAAAGAAGGCAUUCUAUUAUCAAAGAGAACCCUAUUUGUCCAAGCCCAAUGAAUGUGCAGUCCCUAUUAGCCUAUUCUCUGACCGGUUCCUCCACCAUUCUUUUUUGGACGCUACCUACCCUAACCUACUAUAAUUGCCGACAAGAACAGUCCUGUCCUCUCUAAGACCGAGUAAGAGGCUCUGUGCUCAUUCAAUCCAAUCACCUGCUUACAACCUAUCUGGGUGAAGUGAAAGGGGAAGUUCAAUUGAAAGGUUACUUUACUCAAUUAUAUCAUAAGCGUCAAUGACAAACCUUUGACUGCUAUUGAUUGUGGGUGUCCAUACUUACCGGCAAAAGAGAGACGUUCCCGAGCCAGCUUCUGAACUACAGGGCGUGCCUUCUUUGGAGAGAUGGUGAAUUUCUAGUAUAGGAGAAAAACACUCUGCUAUCUUUCUCUUUGGACAAGUUCCGCAAAACAAACUCGCAGGGGAUUCUAUCUCGCUCUCUUAUUUCCUGCUGAAAAAGAAGCUCACUCCAUUACUUUUGGGGUAGUCGAUUCAGGGGUACGAGAAACCCAUAGGGUACGUAGCAAUUAAAUCAACCUUGGAAGCUUUAAUCAAAUCAUAGUAGUGUUCAAAUAAGCAAGUAAUCAAAUAAGAAGUAUUAUUGAGAAGUGUGCUCACUUAUGAUAGAAUGAAAAGUCUAAGGUGCUCACUUAUGAUAGAAUAAAGUCAAUAAAGCUGUAAGGAGAUCCUUUCUUUCGCUUAGUAAGAGCAGAACUGGUUUUUGGGGCUUCUAUUGUUAUUUCACUAUUUCCAUAAUCUGGGGUAGGUAGUACAUACAUAUGGAUCUGAAUGGAUUAUGAUCUCUAAUGAACUGCGCCCUAUAUAAGUAGAAGCACUUUCCUUACCCGAAUAGAGUCUUCUCGUUAACAGCAACCCUAUCAAAGAGUAUAAGCACGCACUUUCUUUACCCGAAUAGAGUCUUCCAGUAUAGUAGUAAAGGCAAGGGUACCGGUAGCGAAUGUUGUAUCUAAUUCAUUCUGUUCUUUUCUUGUUGUGAGCUUUCUUCCCUAUUGACUCGGGGGCACCAUUUCUUAGAGCAGGAAAUGCGAAGGUUGCGCUUUCUUUCUAUUUAUGAGAAUACGAGACCCCGGAAACUUCAAAAAGCUAGGGUAGUGGGAUGGGCUCCGGGUGUAGGACAAGGACUGCCACAGGAACAGUAAGAGUGUUUGAUCCCUAUGGUUUUUUCUCAUUGAAUAUUUUGCACGCCGCGAGCCGUGGUUCUCUCGAGCGGGCUGGGAUGAUCUCAGACGGGGGCAGUACAUUAUCUAUGCCGGAGCAGUGUCAAGUGGUUCCAACUUUCAAAGAAUAACAGGAAAUAUAGGGGAAGGAAGGGGCUUAUCAUCAAAUAUCUAUGUGAUUGGAUUUGCACCAAAGGAAGGAACCCAACAACUCAGAAUUCCAUUCCAUAGUCUUAGUUUGAUAUCUCGACAAGUCAAUCAUAUUAUCAUUGUUUGUUUUCCAAGAAAUGAAGCAAGAUUGAUGGCCUGACAAAAGAGCUCAGAAUUGUAUGAUACAAACUGGGUUUACCCUUCUCCUCUUGGUUGUUGAUCUGGUCCCCAAAAAGAGUAAGGAAUAGAAGAUGCCCAUCUAUAAGAAAGCAUCGUUUCAAAGCUAGAAAUUCCACCUCAAUAUUACUACUUGGCUGACAUAAAUAAGAAACCCACCCAAUAGGAGCCAGAGAUCAAAUCAAUACCAGUCUCGUGUGUAGAAGCGCAGAUCAAGCUCUUUCUCUUCAAGCAUAUAAGAUCGCAGGAAAAAGUGGAGCAAAUAGAGAAAAGUCAGGCUUCGAAAAAAAGCACAAGCGAGAUCAACGACUAGUUGGCUAUGCUGGAAAGCGGGCGAUCAUAUUGACUUCCAUAAUCCAUCUCAUUGGCCCCUACUUUAGAGCCGUCUGAAGCAUCGAGCCUUAUUGAUGUGAAGGCACCGAGCUCCGUAUCUUUUCCAAGGCACGAUGCCCAUAUGCUCAUAUUAGAAUUCAAACUUCAGCAACUCAAAAACGCAUAUUGAAAUGAUAUUACUGUUCCGGUCCGAAUUCGCAAAACGUGGGUUCCAUCGAGAAUUGGAUAGGGUUUCCCAUAGUUCUCGCGAAUCAAGAGCAUUUGCUAGUAAAACCAUGUGAUGAAAUUCGAAUUAGCUAGUAUGACUAUGUGAUGAAAUUCCAUAAGAAUAAGAAGAUGAGGAUUCAUAUUCAUAUAAGAGGGAAGAGGAUUCAUAUAAGAGGAUUAGGAUUCAUAGGGAUGAGGAUUCAUUUUGGAUGGUUAUGGUUGUCUCGGUUUAUAUGGGGCUUUCGAGAUGAUGACGAAGGAACUAACUCAGCUUUCCUGUCUGGGAAAGGAUAUCCGUUUUUUACGACGCAAACGGAGCCGAAACAAACGGGCUCUCCACUCGGACCCUUUGAAGUUUGGAGGGAGGUCCAAAUCCAUCCUAUCAUGGCGCUGGUCUUACCGCUUUCAGGGGAUUCAUUUUCACAGAGCGCAACUAGACCAACAUCAACAAUUAGAAAUCUGGUAUCAAAUGAGUAAACACACUCAUCUAUUGUAGACAAGAGAAGAGGUAUUGUAGACAAGAGAAGAGGUACGACGGCCCCGGAUCGGAACUCAAGGUUGAGCGCGAGAUCAAGUCAAAGCUGGCAAUCCUCGACAGAUAUGCUUGAAAGUCAAAGCUGGCAAUCCUCGACAGAUAUGCUUUCUGACCUUUGCUCCAGAAGGAUUUCGGGGACAUCCGUAUGAAUCUUGAGAAAAUGGUUUCUAGUAUAGCCCUUGACAAGGAUAGAAACCAUAGAAAGGGUAAGCAAUGGAUAGGUUUGGUUCUUGUAUUACGGUAAGCGGACCGUGGAAGCAGUGGGGUAUUAUGAACAGAAUAGAGAUCUCCUUCAUUACCUUCCUUUUCUUUUUCUAUGUUUCUUUCAUUCUUAUUACGGUUUCCUCUGGGCAGACAUAAGCCUUUUCUUUUUCUAUGUUUCUUUCAUUUUUCUUUCGGUUUCCUCUGGGCAGACAUAAGAGAGAGAGCGCUUUAGUGAAGAGAAGUUCCGUCGGCUAGUAUAGUUUUUCACAACAGAGCUUUCUUCGCAUGAGAAGUCAUCUUUUUCAACCAAAUGAUCGCAAAUAUCAAUGAACAUAUGAUUGUAUAUCUACACUUUUACCCAUUUUGUCCCGUUGCUUGGCCCUAGCAGAUACUAACUACAAAGCUUGGCCGUUAUUACUUAGGAAGCGAGUGUGUCUCUUGACUCUGUUGAUGAAGCAUAAGCUGGAGCAGUUUCAGAAGCGGGUGAGGAAUCAGGUAAAUCCGGUUUGAAAGCAUAAACCUCAUUAUCCGGGUGAGUUUACAGCCCGGCUCCUUUUAUUUGAGUUCGAGUGUGCGAGUUAAGCGGUGCUGGACUUUUCUCUUAAGAAGCCGUGCAAAGUUGGCAAUCUUUUUCUCCUAUAUAUUUCUCCUAUAUAAAGAAUGAAUCGAUGUAUGAAAAUUGGACUGGAAGUUAUUAAGUUGGAGCAAGAUCUGGCGAGGAAGCACAAAGUGAAUGAGUUUCACCAUAUUAGUCAGAAAGAAGCCAACUCUCGAAUCUCAUGUCCUCUUUGGGAAUAACCUAUGAAUCUCAUGUCCUCUUUGGGAAUAACCUAUUAAUUUCAUGUCCUCUUUGAAUGGGUUGUUCAAUAAGGGAUUGACCUAAGGGGAAACAGAACUUCAAGCUGUGCUAUCUCAUGGACCACGGGAUGAAAAGAAGAAGGAAAGGAGGAAGAACAUAACGAUAAGAAGUAGCUAUCGGUCGGCUGCUUGAUUUUGACGGGAGUAAAGAAUAAGUGGGUGUUACGCCUUGCCUAAAAGCCAAAAGAAGCUUUCUUCGUUCCGGAGCCUCCAUUAAAGAAGCGGAAGGAUCAAUCAGUGAACUAGAGAGUGGAGUAGUUUAUAUAUAAAUGGUUUCAUCUUAAUUACUUCUAUGCUCGAGAGUUAAGGCAAGAGAGAUCAAAGAAGUUCCAUUCACUGUUUGACUUGACAAUCAUACGGGAUAGGUUAUUUACGUACUUCGAGCUGUAGGCAGAGUUUUAUCUGUAUGAAGCUAUCCAUUCAAGCCUGAAGUGGAGAAGACGUAUAAGGAGGUUUUGAAGUUGUCGACGAAGCGGUUCUCAAAAGGUUAACUCCGUAAACCGAUACGAAAUAAGGACUGGAUUAGUUGGCUAUUCAGAAAGUAGAGUGUCUUUGAGCGCUUGUCCCGUCUUUUAGUCGUCGGCUAACGGGAGUUCAUUCACAGGGGAGGGGGGCAAUAACCAAUUCUAAACUAGCUUUAGUAAUGGGGGGUCCAGUGAGAUUUGAUAUACAAACCUAUGACUCUCUUUGGGGGCUAACGUCAGUUGUGAACGAGAGAAUCUACAGUGUGGGUGAAAUCCUUAGUUUCAGUUACAAGAUCUGAGGCUGGAUCUUAAUCAGGUCAAUUAGGUGUUCAAGCGCUCGGCUCGAAAGAUUAUAUUCAUUACUUUCGGGGCGCUACUGGAGUUUCAAUGAAUUCUUUUACUUGUGCUAACAGAAAGGGUGUUGUUGACUCUAAGUAAGACUCUCGAGCUGGAUCAGACAGUUCCGUUUUAGUUUCAUCUAUAAGAUCCUCUCCGUCGGUUAAGUCAGCGGUAAGUGAUUCUGCAAGUUGAGUUUGACCUGAAUUUAUAUAAUAUGGAUCGUGGUAUUUUCAUUCUGUGUUUUCCUCUGCGCUAACAGGAGUCGUAAAGCGAUCAGAGGUUGGUGCUUGACUUACUUCUUUGUAUAUAGAAGAAGAGGCUAAGGCAUCAGCAGGAAAGUGGACAUCGACUCCAGAAUCCGUAGUGCAAUUACAUUCUGACUUUCGAGUUUACCUCGAGGCGAGAUAGAAUCAAUGAAUUCUGAAGCGUUAAGUCUCACGCCUGUUCCAGUUUUCGGCUAGGGUAAGAGUUCGGGUGUUGUCUUAGAGAGAUAUGGAUUCUCUUAUAUGUGAUGCUCUUAAAGCCAUCUUCUGCGCUCGAAACAAGUUCAAAGGGGUGUGUUUCCGUUUCCGUAUAAGUUCAAGUUGGAAGUUGAAGAAUGAUUUGUUGUGGUAGGUCCCACCUGUUAUAGCAUUGAGUAACCUUUUGGAGACGCGGACUUGAGAUGGGAUUAUUCCUCGGCCUCUCCUUGACGUGAAGAAAAAUCAUAUCUCUCUUUCUUUUGCAUAUAUAAUGAAUUCAGGAAUGUAGUAAAGCAUAAACUCCGUACUCAUCCUCGGCGCAUUAGGCUUAGUCCGAUAUAGUUCCUGUUUUCACUGGCAGUAGUUUAGUUCCCGUUUUCGUAUCUGCAUCAGUGGCUAGAGUGUCAGUUCAUUCUUUCCCUUCACAUUACUCACUCUUUCUUAUGAAUUGAGUACACCCUUUAUGUAAGUUCGUUAUAACCAAGUCCACCAAGCGUAUACUAACGAGUUUGAUUCUGACCUUUCCUACUUGUCAGUUUCAUUCCCAGUUUCAUCCGUAUUUAAGUAGUCGAGUAGUCCAGGACUUGAAGACCCGAUUUUCUUAGUGGUUGAAUUCUUUUAUGAGCAAGUAAAGCAUAAGGCAUAAUAACUUGCAGGUGCUUCAACUGGAUCUACAUUAGACCCAUGUUUUUCAAAGGAAGGCAGGAGCAGUCGCAGCUGGGUUUACGUCUACGUCUACUGGAUCACUGGCAUAAUAACUCGGCCCCUUAGGAUGCAGCUUCUACAGAUAUAGGUUCUUCCCUGGGCCAGGUGUGGUGGGAGAGCGGUCGAGCGUGCAAAGGCGCGAGCAACGUUUCUUCAAUGUUUAAAAGCGUGCAAAAGAAAAGGUCGGCUUUUGGCUAACGAUUCCAAAGAUUCUAUCAUCGAACAUCGAAUUCUUGGCUGGAAAAGAAAGGAACGAAAACAGAUUCAUCCUUUCUCUGUGCUUCCCCGUUCAAGAAAUGAAUUUCUUCCUAACAUCUUUAUGGGCGAAUCAAGUCUAGUUCAGGUUCAGGGUAAGUUAGUUUCCGUUUAAGAAUGAUUUGUGGUAAGAGUUGCCAUAGUGAUAGUUGCUUUAGAGGCUUAGUAGACAUAGGUGUAGUUAUCAUCAAUAGUUCAAUCAAUAGGGAGGCUUUCAGCACCUUCUGUUUACUUAAGCUGUUUGUAAAAGAGUGAAGUAAACUCCCUUCCCCAAAGCCCGGAAAGUGACCUCACCCAGAGUUAGUAAAGAAUCCAGUACUGCUGGGGCAGGUUAAGGUAUUUAAUGAAACUCCUAACUAAGUAGUAAAAGCAUGAAACAUAUACUAACAAAUUAUUGAUUUCUAAUCAGUAGACGGUUUUAAAGGUAAUUACCUGACUUUCGAACAGGAACAUUCCCUAGAACUGGAACAUUCCCACUUAUCUUAUAUCUUAUAUUAUAGAACUGAUUCCACUCAUUCACCUAGCGCUUCGUCACCAACAACAAGAGACUCUGACCUCGCUUCUGAUCCAGCUCUAUCUGAUGCUUUAGCCUCUUUUUAUCCUUAUUCUACUCCGUCAUCUUAUCCUUCUGCUCUAGUUUCAUCCAGAGUUUCAUCUUCCUGCUGUGACCCGCCAAGUAGACAAGCUUAUACUACAAACGCAAGACUACAAAUAAACUCAAUCAAGAUACUAUUCCAGAGUUAACCUGUAUUCAAGGCGUCAGUUCGGGAAAGCUAUCAGGCCAGGCAAGCAGAAAAGUAGUGCUUCAUCAGAACCAUAAGCAGGAGAAGUGAAGUUUACAAGAGAAUAAAGUAGUGCCAGUUAGGUCUACGAGAUCAUCACAAGUGCUUUCUUCGACCAUAAAGAUUAAGUGCGCGAAGGAGAGUCCAAUUAUCCAGUAGCAAGUCCUGUUAGUUUGGUCUUAUACUUAUUCUCUUUCUUAUCCCUAAAUUAGUCACACCCUUUUUUGUUGUGGUAUAUUUGAGUCACAGCAGAAAUAAGUAGAAAUUAGUAACAGAUGGAACUGUUCGAAAGUCUGGGUGCUUGGACUGUACCACUACAAGGGAAAGCUAAGCAUUAAGGUGAGGGUAAGGCAGAGGCAUAGGGUUCCGUUAAGUCAGAGGCAUAGGGUGAAGGUAUCGGUGAACAAGUCAGCAGUGAAAGCAGAUCCACAGCCAACUUACUAUAUGAGCAGCUCUAGUGAAACUCUGAUCUUUGUUCCAGAAGGUAAGCGGUUAAGUCAGAAGGAGAGUGAAGUUCUGUUCUUGUGUCUGUUCGAGGAAAGGAAACUCCAGCUAGCAAAUACAGGACUAGCUCAUAGCUAAUUAAUAUAUAUGAAUUUGUUCCUUACUCUCUAUGCCUUCGGGUGCGAGGGUUGGUUGUCAGUUAGGAAUACAUCUAGCUUCUGAACAGAUAAGUUAACAAGUAAGCUUCCGAACAGAGGUUUUGUAUCCUUAGGGCAAACACACUUAGAUUCUAUCUUAUCUAAUAGAACUGAUGAAAGUGCCUAAUUUGUUCAAAGAGCCAGCUGCUUUGUUUGUUUAAAGAGAAGAAAGAGAUGUUACCAGUUGCCUGCGGUAUAGUUAUAUGAGUUGAGGACCGCUUCCAAGUCAUUCAGUUAAAGCAAAGGCCAGGGCAGGGAAAGAAAGAGCGAGAUGGGGGUCGGGUCGGUAUGAAACAAAUUCUACUAGUUGUCUGCUUGCCUACUUGCUAUGUCUUUGUAGUAGUUACUUGGCGGUCAUUAGUAGUUGUUUGUCUAGUAGUUACUUGGUCGUUAGUAGUUGCUUGGCCCUUUCUCCAAUUUCUUAAUAGAUAUCCAACUUUCUACAAUUUAUAUAUAUUAAAAGAUAAUGAGUGGUUUUUCUAGCGCCCCCUUUGGAAUAAGCUAUGCGGGUGCUACAGACUCAACGGACUUGGACCCAGCUUUCAAAUGAGAAGAUUGCUCUCUGGAUGUUCAACCUUAUCUGCAGGGCAAUCCACGAGGACAAAUAAAUGAGAAAUCAAUUCUAAAUAAAUGAUACCAAUAGUACUUGGGAGGUGGAAACGGGGAAUCUGACUCUGUGCCUAUGAUUGACUCGUAUUAGUCUUACUUAAGGUCGGCCACGCUUAAAGAUCGGUGCGGCUAAUAGUGAUGACAGAAAGAAUCAAGCUUGCUAGCAAGAGUUAGAAGUUAUAGCUUAGGCUUCAUCUCCUUCUGAAGCAUAUCCACUUCCUGGGAUUCCUUAUGUCGUGGGCUUAGCUUAGCCUCCAGGAUGACUUAUGUAUUACUCUAUCCAAUAUUACUUAUGUAUUACUUCACUAUAACUACUUAGAUGUAUGACUAACUACUUAUUAUUAAUAUGUGUAUAUAUAUAUAUAUGACUAACUUAUCCUUAUCUAUUUGAUUGGAAUGUUCUUGUCAUUCAUUUUUCGUACUUGUGUACUCUCGCUCGAGGAAAGAUAGAAAGUGGAUGGAAGGGAUAGGCUUUUUGUACUAGCUUGGCAAAGUAGAGUUUUGUGUCCUCCUCGUACAGGGAGAGGCCCUUAAAAGAUUUCUAAGAAGUGCCACCCCCCCCUUUUUUCUUUUCCGAACAAAAGAUUGAAGUUCAGCAGCAAGCCUUUGACCUUUUAGUAAGUACAUACAAGAGCAUGUCUCUUUUGAAAGAAAAAGUACAGACCCGGGGAGCGGGAACUUAAGCUCUAAGGCAGUAGUUAUGGACUGAAAGAUGUAUAGGUUUGUUGUCGGACGAAGAGAACAACUCUCAACCAGGAAUAAGUCAUUUGAGAAUACAGAAUUGAACUCUACCCCUGGAUCCUAUAUUCUAUGUCAAAGAGUCCAACUGGUAAGUCAGAAUUAAAGGCAAGAAAGCAAGAGCCAUAAGCUUAAUCGAAGGAAUUCCACUCAAGCAGAGGCUGGCGAGGGAAGAAAGAUAAUACCCAGUUCCUGUUCUCAAGUAUGGUUAUGACCGAUAUAUGACCGAAAUCGGUCACAGCUAAAUCUCAAUAGAUGGAGCAAGAGCAUAAACAGGUAAAGGAUUUGAAGCAGGUGAGGAAGCUUUAUCAACUGAAUCCGCAGUUCUCAAGUAAGGUAAAGGCCCAAAACCAUAAGACUCAGUGCGUGAACGAGAAGAGAGUGGAGUUGUGGAAAAUCAGAUAUUAUAUAAUAGAAGGCGAGAAAUAAAGCCAUAUGGAAAUGCAUGAGUUGCACUAGGCUAAAGGGCUUUUUGAGCAACAAUACUGAGUGUGUCAGCAACUAGCAAGCGGGUAAUCUUUAAUUACAACUUAAGGUGUUGAGUAUGAGUAUGAGUAUACAAAGUCAGGGUAGUGUUGGCUUAGAGUCUUGUUCAGUUAUGAGCUCUAAGUCGUACGAGAUAGUUUCGGCGGUAACUGAAUCCGUAGAAGAAAGAUAUGAUGCAACAGAAAGAGCAAGAUCUGAGGCAUAAGCUAUAUAUGGAGUAGGAGAAGUGAAAAUAUCAGUAUAUGUUAGUAGGUAAAGAAUAUUGGGUUGGGGCAGGGUAUCUACUUCAAUCUAUAACAGGUGCACUCCAGGAUACUCUCCCGGCUGGGCAAGGGAACAAUAGGCAGUUCAAGGACUGGUAGAAUGGAGUUUUUGACUAUAAGAAUCGAAUUGACUACUAUGGCGUUAUACUAGAGUGUACCCCAGUAUCAGAACCUAUUAUUGGAACGGGUUGGCUAGAAGGAGGAACCCUUAAGGAGAUGCACACUAACGCCUUUAAGGAGUUACUGGAACUACACUUGCGGACUUAGAGCGUAAGCACCAAUACCAGACUUUCGAACAGGAACCGGGAGUCGGAACCAUAUCAGUUGUUCGACAUCGACAGGCAGGCGCAGAAGAGCAAGCCUAAUUCUAUAUUUCAGUAACAGGGGCGGGGUUAACUCACAGGUCCAGACUCAGUUGACAGAUAAGAAACAAGAUCAGGUGAAUCCAAGUCCUUUGUUCGAGGGCAAUCAGCGGCAUACAAUAGGAAAUCAUUCCACUACUACAGAGGCAAAGAACCAAGCCCUAACGCCUUAACCUUUCUUUGAAACUGUUGAUUCGAGAGUCGAUGUAUAAUCCAUUGUUGAAUCUUAUUAUCAAGAAAGAAUAUCAGUUAGAAGCUUAUUUCUGUUCGAAUAAAGUUGUUAGUUGAAAGAAAGUAGAUAGUGGAAAGCCUAAUAUAAGUACGGGUUAGUGGAGGUAGGCCUAGUUAGUGAAUCCAGAACUCCUACUGAGGAAAGAAUUCAUCUACUAUGGUACACAGGAUUAUGACUGAUUACUUACUGCCCGGUAACAACUCUAUCACUUACUGCCCGGCACACAAGCACUUCUGGAACAAGACUCGUUGGACCACUUGCAGCUGACUUUAGUCAACACCCAUUAAAAGCUUCUUCUCGACUCGCAGGAAAGCCAAGAAAUCACUUAGUUCGUAUACAAGGAAGGUUAUACAGGGGAACAAUCCGUUUCAUUACCAACCAUAGGAGCGGAUCUCUAUUCAGAACCCAUUUACUUAAGGGCAGAAAGAUACUCCACUCGCACCCAACCCGAAAGAAGCGCCAGCAUCUGAACCGACAACUUCGUCAAGCAAUAGACCGAUGACCAUCAAACUCCUGCUAACAGCGGUCAACACCACAGAAUGGGUGAUUUGCUAUAAUAUGAGUUUACUCGAGUUAGAGAAUUGCCUUAUUAUUAUGACCAUUAUUACAUUAUAGCCUACUAACUCAAUAAAUGUGCGGUGCAGAAGUCCAAUAUAUCUUUAUUUAGAAUUACGGGUGUGCUACAUGUGAAAAUGGAGAUUGAUUGAUUAUUACUGGUUACAUGUGUUAGUAAUGCUUGGAGUGGAUGCCCGGUGCUAUAUCUAUAGUCAUUCGCUUCUGGAGUGUAUUUGCUUGUUGAAUUGAGGCACGGUCCCUUAUUCUUCUUCUUAUUGGAAGCGGGCUUCUACUCUGGUAAGGGAUAAGAUAAAGGGGAGCGGGGGAACAGCCCUGCCGCUCUUUUAGCUCGCUGACGCUACACAUUAGCCCAACUCAGCUCCUGACGCGACACCAAUUAAUUAAGUGAACUUGUCUACUUGGCGAUAUCCAAAUAUCUCUUUAAGAACUAUCCAAAUAUCUGUUAUUAUUAAAGAAACUAUAUUGAACUAGGGCUUACCCGACCGAAGAGUCUUACGGACACAGGACUUAGUAGUUGCUAAGGUGAACUCGGAGUUAAGACCACAUAGUGAAUAGUAGUUAUAUCAGAAUAGCAGAGUGGAAGACCGGAGAAGAGCACCAGGAGUUCAAUUGGUCACUUUUGCCAACCGCUCGCUACGGAAGAUGGUUAAGGUAUACACUACAAAUUCAUUAAAGAACAGGUACGUACUUUCUCUAGCGCAUAGAAACAAGUAAUAUCAAAUACAAGCCUCUUAGAAAAGGUACUCAAUCUCUUGAGAAGAACCAGUUGUCACUUCUAUUACGGUUGGCGAUGAAGAAAGUAGAGU
rnacentral:lncRNA from 1 species